rnacentral:misc_RNA from 1 species
UUGUGUACAAAAUGUUAUUUAAAAAAAUUUUAAAUAAGUCCGAGAUUUUUGUGAAUUAAAGGUUUGAAUACAUAUCUGUCAUAGAUGUGAGGUUUUGCCAGUCGUAGGAACCAAUAUGAUCUCCGCUAAUCAAGUUUUUACAAAGGAAUUCGGAGAAUCAAGUGAUAAAGACAACUUUAUUCCGAAUGUGUGUUCCUUGACGAAAUACACUUGCAGGGGUGGACAUUCUCUUGGAUGUUGGUGGCACCGGGACAUGAACCCGGGGCUUCCGAAUGUCAGUGCGCUUUUACGAAAACAUGAUCUUUGAAAUCUAGAUUGAUUUCAAAAAGUUAAUGUACAUUUAAUCAAUAAAGGGAUUAUUAAUAAUUGCUACAUGCUUACUACGAAAUUAUGUUUUAAUUUUUUUUUUGAAACUUCAAAUCCAAAAACUCAAGUGGGUGCUAAUCUAAAACUGUCAGAUGAACAGAGGUUUGAAUUUCAUUCGACAUCAAAUCGCUUGAGCGGCAAUACUUAUGUAUGUAUGUUGCUUAAGGACCUAUGAAACUUAAAGAAAAAUAUAUACCCAUCGCUGCAAUAAUGUCAAACACAGCUUCGUUACAACAAAAAAAUUUAAUCACGAAUAUGUGUUUGCAUUUAAAUUGUUUUUUGGUAACACAGCACAUAAAAAGGAAUACAUAAAAUAAAUGUUAUCUUUAUU